rnacentral:rRNA from 1 species
GGACUAUCAGUCUUGCAAUUGGAUUGAGAACAAUGUACAACUCUUAUCGAUAAGCCAUUGGAGGGCAAGUCUGGUGCCAGCAGCCGCGGUAAUUCCAGCUCCAAUAGCGUAUAUUAACGUUGUUGCAGUUAAAAAGCUCGUAGUUGAAGUGUGGGUGAUCGCUGUUGUGAGACUUCGGUCUCUCGACAGUAAGUCACCCCCUUCCAGUAUCCAGUAGUGGGUAUUCAGUUACUUACUAUUGUGUGUUGGUCAUUUACUGUGAGAAAAUUAGAGUGUUCAAAGCAGGCGUUUGCUUGAAUAGAUUAGCAUGGAAUAAUAAUUGAAGGCUUUCGUGUUCGAUUUGAUUGGUUUGUUCAUGGAAGCAAGGUUAAAAGGAACAGUUGGGGGUAUUCAUAUUCACUAGUUAGAGGUGAAAUUCUCGGAUUUAUGGAAGAUGAAC